GAUAGACUCCUGAAUCGACCCUGGGUAAAAGAUCAAGGUUUUCAGAUAUGUGUUCACUGAUGCCUCUCGUGCAGACAUUUGACGAUGAGUGGAAGAAUUUUUAAUCCAACACCUUCUACAAAUUCUUUUGAGUGUGACGUUCCUUUCCAAAUACAAUUUGUUUAUUCACGUGCAAUGUGAUGGAAACCUCCUUCAAUAUCAUCCGUCAUAUUCCAAAAACUCAAGAAUCAAACAGCUUGGGGCAAUUACAAAGGGCUUAGAAGCCAAAACAUAGCAGAGCUGGGUGGGCGAGGGGAGGGGGUAUCUUGGCUGAUGAUUGAAGAGGCACUCUCCUGGGCCAGCAUAUGGGAUAAACAGCUGGCUCAAAGACACAGAGCUGUUUGCCGAAAACCAUCCUGUUUGCUAGACCCUUACAAAAGAAAAAUCUUGCCUGCUUUUACACUUAAACAAAGCAUGAAAAUAAGACAAUCUGAAUGAUAAAUACAAAUCACACUAUUGUUAUCGCGUUCAAUGGCAUUUUGGCAGCUGACGGCUGUUAGAUGAUCCUGUUUUUUCCCCAGUAGAGGAAAAAAUGAUUCUCAAGGCUGGCACUGAGGAGGGGUUCCAGGAAUGCAUUCCAGUAACAAGCAAAUUGUUACUCUUCUGGGUAAGGGUUUUG